CCUACGGGUGGCAGCAGUGGGGAAUAUUGCACAAUGGAGGAAACCCUGAUGCAGCCACGCCGCGUGAAGGAAGAAGUAUUUCGGUAUGUAAACUUCUAUCAGCCGGGACGAAAAUGACGGUACCUGACUAAGAAGCCCCGGCUAACUACGUGCCAGCAGCCGCGGUACUACGUAGGGGGCACGCGUUAUCCGGAUUUACUGUGUGUAAAGGGAGCGUAGGCGGCGAUGCAAGUCAGAAGUGAAAGCCCGGGGCUCAACUCCGGGACUGCUUUUGAAACUGUGUUGCUAGAUUGCAGGAGAGGUAAGUGGAAUUCCUAGUGUAGCGGUGAAAUGCGUAGAUAGUAGGAGGAACACCAGUGGCGAAGGCGGCUUACUGGAAUGUAAAUGACGCUGAGGCUCGAAAGCGUGGGGAGCAAACAGGAUUAGAUACCCUGGUAGUC
rnacentral:rRNA from 1 species